CUCCCGACCUGGGGAUGUAGUGACGAAAAGUAACAAUACAGGACUCUUUUGAGGUCGUGUAAUUUGAAUAUUUCAGUCCACUUAAAAUCCA